CCUACGGGAGGCAGCAGUGGGGAAUAUUGGGCAAUGGGCGCAAGCCUGACCCAGCAACGCCGCGUGAAGGAAGAAGGCUUUCGGGUUGUAAACUUCUUUUCUCAGGGACGAAGCAAGUGACGGUACCUGAGGAAUAAGCCACGGCUAACUACGUGCCAGCAGCCGCCGUAAUACGUAGGGGGCAAGCGUUAUCCGGAUUUACUGGGUGUAAAGGGCGUGUAGGCGGGACGUCAAGUCAGAUGUGAAAACCACGGGCUCAACCUGUGGACUGCAUUUGAAACUGGAGUUCGUGAGUACAGGAGAGGCAUGCGGAAUUCCUAGUGUAGCGGUGAAAUGCGUAGAGAUUAGGAGGAACACCAGUGGCGAAGGCGGUCUGCUGGACAGCAACUGACGCUGAGGCGCGAAAGCGUGGGGAGCAAACAGGAUUAGAUACCCGAGUAGUC
rnacentral:rRNA from 1 species